GAUGAACGCUGGCGGCGUGCCUAAUACAUGCAAGUCGAGCGAACGGACGAGAAGCUUGCUUCUCUGAUGUUAGCGGCGGACGGGUGAGUAACACGUGGAUAACCUACCUAUAAGACUGGGAUAACUUCGGGAAACCGGAGCUAAUACCGGAUGAUAUUUUGAACCGCAUGGUUCAAAAGUGAAAGACGGUCUUGCUGUCACUUAUAGAUGGAUCCGCGCUGCAUUAGCUAGUUGGUAAGGUAACGGCUUACCAAGGCAACGAUGCAUAGCCGACCUGAGAGGGUGAUCGGACACACUGGAACUGAGACACGGUCCAGACUCCUACGGGAGGCAGCAGUAGGGAAUCUUCCGCAAUGGGCGAAAGCCUGACGGAUCAACGCCGCGUGAGUGAUGAAGGUCUUCGGAUCGUAAAACUCUGUUAUUAGGGAAGAACAUAUGUGUAAGUAACUGUGCACAUCUUGACGGUACCUAAUCAGAAAGCCACGGCUAACUACGUG
rnacentral:rRNA from 1 species